rnacentral:rRNA from 1 species
UACGAGGGAUGCAAGCGUUAUCCGGAAUUAUUGGGCGUAAAGCGUUUGUAGGCGGGCGAGUGUGUUUAAUGUUAAAUCUUAAAGCCCAACUUUGAAAUUGCGUUAAAAACUGCUUGUCUUGAGUAUGGUAGGGGUAAAGGGAAUUCCCAGUGUAGCGGUGAAAUGCGUAGAUAUUGGGAAGAACACUAAACAGCGAAGGCACUUUACUAGGCUAAUACUGACGCUGAGAAACGAAAGGUAAGGUAGUGAAACGGAUUAGAUACCCGUGUAGUCUUACCCGUAAACUAUGGACACUAAACGGUAAAUUUUUAAUUUACUGUUAAAGCUAACGCGUUAAGUGUCCCGCCUGGGGAGUAUGCUUGCAAAAGUGAAACUCAAAGGAAUUGACGGGGGCCCGCACAAGCGGUGGAGCAUGUGGUUUAAUUCGACGGUACACGAAGAACCUUACCAGGAUUUGACAUGCUAGAUAGUUGCUUGAAAGAGUAACGUGCCGUAAGGAAUCUAGACACAGGUGGUGCAUGGCUGUCGUCAGUUCGUGUUGUGAAAUGUUGGGUUAAGUCCCGCAACGAACGCAACCCUUGUCUUUAGUUAUUUUCUAAAGAGACUGCCUGUAAUAAACAGGAGGAAGGUAAGGAUGAGGUCAAGUCAUCAUGCCCCUUAUGUCCUGGGCUACACACGUGCUACAAUGGGAAAGACAAUGAGCUGCAAAUCUGUAAAUUUAAGCAAAUCUCUUAAACUUUCUCGUAGUUCGGAUUGUGGGCUGCAACUCGCCCACAUGAAGUUGGAAUCGCUAGUAAUCGCCAGUCAGCUAUAUGGCGGUGAAUCCGUUCCCGGGCCU